UACAUUUAAAGGUUGCGCGGAUAAAGAAUUACGUGCUUACAGCUACCUCUCUUUGCUUGAAAACACGAAGAGUUUUCGGAGCAAAGAACAAUAAGCAACGUAAUUGAUUUAUGACCCGACACCUAUUCAAAACGAAACAAAGAUGGACAAAAGAUUGUGACUGAGCCCUGGUAUCUGAGCUGCCGUCAUAUCCUUGGCUAUAAAGGAAUCAGGCCACGUGUAGUUCAGAGGUGAAUGAAAUGAUGGAGUGUGUGGAGAGGAUGAGAGAGUCGAAUGAGGUACCGUUCCGUCAAGGUUCCGGUCCGCGGUCCUGUUAUUACAUCAAAAUCAAAAAUGAAAAAGACUAACUAAGCUUGUCAGCUAUGAGUUACAAGAUUCCUAUCUAUAUGCUUUCUGAAGCUUAGAUCUUGAGUCUUGAAUGGUUCUUCAUGUAGACUUUUGAUUUGAACCUUGAUGCUUGCUAGUUGCAGCGCUCGUGACUUCAGCAAUGUCUUGAGCAGUUCACAUCUUUCAUCUGUUUCUGCAUUUUGGAUUCACUUCUUUUUUUCUUUUCUUUUCUUUAUUCUGGAUCGAGACUCCUUAUUUUGAUCAUAUUGAACCUUGUGCCUCGAGGUAAAACCUGCUCAGAUACCAAAACAAAACAAAUGAACAAAAUGUUUUUGCCCCAGUUUUUACUAGGAAAAUUUCGUGAGUUAUUUGUAACAAAAUUCUAAACUACUUCUUUAUUGAAAGUAAUAAAAGGUCGGGAAUGGUGUACCCGGAGAUAACAUAAUUCUUUGGGAAUGGUGUACCAUAAUUGUCAAAAUGGUGUCUCAACUGAGGAUUUGUGUACCUUAUGUUGGAAAAAUGUGGUCAGGGAAUGGUAUACCCUAUAUUGGCAAAGAUAUCAGAGAGUGAUGUACCCUGCAUUUAAGAUCAAAUCAACUAGGGAGUGGAUACCCUAUGUUGGAAAGGAGACUAGGGAGUGGAGACCAUAUAUCUUAAGCAAAAUCAACUAGGGAGUGAAACCCUAUGUUGGAAAAUAAGACUAGGGAGUGGAGAUCUUAUGUCUAAAAAUAAAAAUCAACUAAGGAGUGAAGACCCUAUGUUGGAAAAGAGACUAGGGAAUGAAGACCAUAUGUCUAAAAAUAAAAAUCAACUAGGAAAUGGAGACCCUAUGUUGGAAAAGGAGAUUAGGGAAUUGUGUACCCUAUGCUAAAAUGAACCAAGAAGGAUUUUUUUGUUUUGUUUUGAGAAAAUCAUUUUCAUCAUUUUUUUUUGAGAAAAUUAUUCUUUUAAACAAAUUGCCCCAACACUUAUUUUUCGAGGGCGUGAACAAAUGACCCUUUUUUUAAAUCCAGACUUCUUUUUUUAAUUAUCCUAGGAAAAAAUUCAUCAGACUAGUUUUUUUUAUCUUAGGAGAAUGAUUCAUCAGACAAAGAUUUCUAUCCUAGGAGAAAAUUCAUCAGACUAGGUUUUCUUAUCUUAGGAAAAAAUUCACCAGACUAAGAUUUAUUAACCUAGGAGAAAAUAUAUCAGACUAUAUUUUUUAUCUUAGGAGAAAGAUUCAUCAGACUAAGAUUUCGAUCCUAGGAGAAAGUUCACCAAACUAGGUCUUUUUGAUUUUUAUCUUAGGAGAAAAAUUCAUCAGACUAAGAUUUAUUAUCCUAGGAGAAAAUUCAUCAGUCUAGAUUUUUUAUCUCACGAGAAAGACUCAUCAGACUAAGAUUUCUAUCAUAGGAGAAAAUUCACCAGACUAGGUUUUCUUNCGUGGUCGAAAGACAUUUUCGAUCCAUUAAAUGUCAAACUUUCCACCGAACUUCAAAUGAUUCAACAUUCUCAAAUCUGACCUUUACAAUGAUUUUGAAGGUAAAGAUCCUUAAACUCUACGGGUAUGACUAUUCUAGUUACACUUGAAUUUUACUCGGGCUUAAUUCCAAGGUAUUUCAACUCUUUUUCAUCCUCAAAAGUGUCUUUUCUCAGUUAUCCAAUUCAAGCUUAAAUCAAUUUUCUAAGAUCUGGCCAAAAAUUUCGCAUGCAUAUCAUGUCACUAGAACUAGCGACGAAAGAAUUAAGCAUGGAGUGACACAAAGGACAAACUGUAUUUCAUUGAGUCAAAGGUGGAAGGGUUUAACAACAAGACAAACAACCUAAAAUCCGAGUUAAGGUCCUAAAAUAACCCGGAUAAUGAAAAUAGCAACAGAACAAACAGACAAGACUCACACAAACAAAAUAGAGGGAUAUAAGGGUUUGACUCAAUAAAACAAAUAAAAUCUAGAUCACAACCCUGAAAUAACCCAAAUAAUAGAAAAAAUAUCAAAACAAGCUACCAAGAUUCCUUCCUAGUGAUGAGGGAAUGCCAUUUCAAUUGCUAAGCUUGACAUUUAGCCACAAAAUUGCUCAUCAGAAUCACCAGGGCCUUCUCCAAUUUCAAUAUCAUUAACUUCAGUCAGCAAGUUCCCGAGAGGAUUCUCAUACUCCCUGUCACCACGCAUCAUCCCCACAAAGUGUGCAUCAUCAUAUACAGAUAAAGAAUUCUGCGUGAUAUUCGGAGUGUCAUUGUCUUCGAUCACAAUCAGGUUUUCUUGGAUCACCCUUUCUAUUUCUCUUUUUAAUUCCCGACAGCUUUCAACAUUGUGCCCCUGGCAUUGGAAUGGUAUUCACACCUUUUAGAAGGGUCAAAGCUUCUUGCACGCGAGUCCACAUGAUUUGGAGGAAUAGGUGCAAUCAUGUCAUAAUGCUUUAAUUUCUCAAACAAGCUUGCAUAUGACUCUCUUAUUGGUGUAAAAUUAUCUUUCAACCUUUGUUCCCCUCUAUCCCCCUGGCUUGGAUGUGGGUUAUAGGGCACUUAAAAUUUUGUGGAGGCGGGUGGAGAUUUUGCGGUGCUGGUGCUCGCCUUCUGGGGUGUCUUGGCGGCUGGACGACAUACUGGGAUGGAGCAACAUAGUAUUGUGGGUUCUGAGAUAGAUAAUAGUGCUCAGAGGAAUCAUCAAAAACCAGACGAGGCUGGUCAAACCUACGAGAUGUUCUCCUAGGCCCUCUUCUCGACCCUGAUGUCAUCAUGGUUUCUUCAUCCUUCUCAUUCGUAUCACUAAAAUUAGCAGAUUUAAUCUGGACAACCUGAGUUGCGUCUUUGAGAACCGCUUGACUUAUAAUUCUGCCUAUCUUAAGGCCAUUCUCAACUAUUUUCCCAAUUUUGAUUGCUUCCGAGAAGGAUUUGCCAAUUGCGGACAUCAUGUUUUGAAAAUAAUCUGGCUCUUGAGCCUGAAGGAAGACGGUGAUUAGCUCGUGGUCAUCCAUGGGUGGUUUAACUCUAGCCGCUUGCUCUCUCCAUUUAAUGGCAUAUUCCCUGAAACUUUCAGUUGGUUUCUUUUCAGGUGGGCUAUGGGGUCUCCGUGUCCAUCAUACUUUUCAAAUUUGGGAGUCUUGAAACCAAGUGGCAAAUGAACAUCGGGGAAUAUAUAUAGAUAUUUGAAGGCAAUACUCUUCUGACCUGCCAACCCUUGUAUGUUUUUCAACUGUUGUUCUAAGCUUUUCAUUCUUUAGGUCAUUUCUUCCUCUGCCAUCUUUCGAGCAGGCUUCUCAAUCUUUGCAGGAAGAUAAAAUAGGUACGAGUAGUACUCUGGAGAAUGGUAAUAUUCUUGAUGGGUAGCAAAUUAUGACUCAUGAGUUUUCUUCUGCACCACCGUCGGUUGCGGAAUGGUGAAGACGGGCAUAACAGUAGUGGUUGUCUGAUUGGUUGUCAAUGGAACACUUUGGGAGCGCGCAACAGAAGUUCCAACUGUAGUCAUACAGUUGGGAUAAAGACUGUACCCAGGUGGAUAGGAUUGAUCAGGCAAUAAGACCGAAAUGGUAGUAGUCGAAAUGGAUGUGAACUCUGGGUAACCCCGAAUAGAAAAAGGCGGUCCUAGGACAUUGGCCCAUGCUUGACACAUUUUAGUUAUUUGUUACUUCGGUACGCUAUUUUUCUCAACCAUUGUAGACUCUUGUUGAACUCUCUGACCCUGAGCCUCUUGAGCACUCGUAACAACUUCAAUGUCAGUUGUCAUUUUUUCCUUGGAUCUUGUGUUGUCAGCUUACCACAAACCGACCACCUCAACCUUUCUUUACAAUUCAAAACAAGAGACACGUUAGAAUGGAUUCAGUCGGUCCUUAUUAUUAUCAUCAUCAUUUUUAACACUUUUUUUAAAAAGGUUGAUCGAACCUAAUGUGGGUUGCCUACGUAUCAUGUGAGAACAUGAAUUAGAUCUUGCGUAGUUCGGGAAGAUCAGAAAUAAAGUAAAUAAACUAACUCUUUUUUUGGAUUUGAAUUCCUUUUUUUUUUUUCGAAAGAAAGGCUUAUAAAUAAGAAAGAAAAUAUUUUGGAUUUUGAUUUGUUUGAUUGUUUUUUUUUUGUUGAGAUUUUUUGAAAAGAAAGACUUCUAAAGAAGAAAGAAAAUACUUUUUGGAUAUUUGAUUUUCUUUUUUGAAAUUUUGGGAAAAAGACUUCUAAAAAGGGUAGAUUUUUUUUUUUGGAUUUUGAUUUUAUCUUCUUUUUUUUUUUUGAUAUUUUGGGGAAAAGACUUCUAAAAACAAGAAAAUAUUUUUGAAUUUUUGGACUUUUAUUUUGAAUUUAUGAAAAAGACUUCUAAAGAAAAAGAAAAAUAUUUUUGAAUCUUGAAGUUUCUCCUUAAUUUUCGAAAGUAAAACUUCUGAAAUUGUUUUUGGAUUUUUAGAAGAAAUUUAAAGAAAAUAUUUUUGGAUUGUUUUUUGUAAAAACAAAUUGGGGUCUCAAAGGAAGACUUUUCUCAAGGGGGAAGUAAUGGGAAAUAUUUUUGGAUUUUUAAAAAAAAUUGUGGGCCGGAACCGAUGGGGUUUGCCUACGUAUCUCACAUCCGGUAAGAAUCAGACCCGCGUAGUUCGGUCAAACCAACUAUUUUUCUCUUCUUUUCUUUUAAUGAAAAUUAAUCUUUAAAAAUCAUACGCACUAGGCCACAUCAUUUUUUUGUUCAUUCAACUGAUUUAUGCUAAAAUUGGCAACAUGCUAGCCUCCUAAAUAAUGCAACAAGUAGUACAUAAUAUGACAUAAUAGUCUCAACAAGGUACUUGUUCUAAACAGAACUCGACCCCUGUGCCGACCCUGCUAAGUCAAAUGCACGUGAUGCAAAUAAAGCGAACCUACUAGGGAUAUCCAGCAUGAGGUUUAAUUUUCUAGGUUCAAAUCCUUGUGGAGAAAGUAUCUAGACUGGCUUACUCAAGCGUACAACUCGAGUCGAGGAAGGUCAGCGUACCACUAGCAUUGCUUUCCGGCUUAACUGGUGAUGCUCCCCACCUAAAAUAUGUGUGACUAAAAUCUUUCACCGGGUGACAAGCACCUCGGCUAUCUCAAAGAAAGAGGGCUAUGUCAAGCAAAUGCCCAAUUUAAUUUCAAGAAGACUCAGAGGGAAAGAGGGUUUCGUAACGAUUUUAUAUACAGUUCAAACAAUAUCAAAGCGGUAAAAAGCGGCAUUUAGCACAUUAGGCCCAAACACGUAAUAUUAGACAAUCACAAGAAAGCCAAGUAUAACAGUUAUUCUAAGCUCGAAUUCUGAACCCUGAACCAAAGAUUCUGGGUUCGAUCCCCAGCAGAGUUGCCAGAGUUGUCACACCUCCUUUUUCCCGAAGGAUAAGGAGUUUUUCUAAUUAAAGUGACAUUGAUCGAAAUGAGAUUAUUUAUUUAUUACAGAGUCGCCACUUGGAAUGAUUUAUGCUGUCCCAAGUCACCAGUUUAUUUUAAAUCCCAAAUCAAGAAAAUUGACUUUUAUUUAUAGUCUGCGAACAUAGAAGACCGGGUAAGGAAUUCUGUUAACCCGGGAGAAGGUGUGAGGCACUCCCCCUAAGUUCCGUGGUUUUAGCACGGUCGCUCAACUGUUAAUAAUUAGCUUAAUUAUCUGAUUUAAUACAUAUUUGAAACCUAUUGUGUAUUUUUAACUUUUAACCGCUUUUAGUAUUUAUAAAAUUAUUUCUGGAACAAGUCACGAUAUCGUACACUUGCCGUUUUGGUAUACGUUGCAAACCGCGCCACAUGAAAUGCACCCGUGAUUUAUGACAUGUUUAUUUUUAUUAUUAUUUGAAGUUAUGAUCGAGUCACGUGAAACGCACACUCGAAUUGAGAUUUACCUAUCAUGACCAUGUUACGGAAACCGUACCCAUAGUCACGAUGAUUUAUCAAUCGCACCUAAAGCAAGCUACACAUUUGAAUUAUUUUCCUAAACUAAUUUGAGAUUAUUAUGAAGGCCAUAUGUUAUGAAAUAAUUGUGAAAAAUGAAGUAAAUUAUUAAAGGAGUAAAUAGGCCAAUAUGUACCAAUAUUGUAUAGCCCCAACAGAUUAAUGACCCAAUAUACUAAGUCCAAAUUCCAUUAUAUCAAAUCUAUUGUCAUAAUUCAGAGAACAAGAUAAUUAAUAUUUUAAAAAAAAAGAAUAAACUAGUCAAAUUAACAAGAUAAAUGUAUGUAUAACAUAAGAGCGACUAAAACAUCCACCAAACUGCUUAAUUGAUUUAACCAACGACUUAAACCCUCACAACUCAAAGGAACAAACCAAACAGAAUAUUAUGAAAAUGAACAAAGCAACAACUAAAAUUAUGCUGAUACAAAAUAGGCAUAAGCUAAUAAAAAAUAAACACCAAGCUAUAAUAAGCAAAAGAAAACUAGCAAAACUAAGGAAAUGCCGGAAACAGACCUUUUUAUUACCUUCAAAAUAUCUAAAAGCUUCUUAGCUGGUUUAUAAAGAAUGUUGAGCCAAUGAUACCAGACCCGUUAACCAAAGACCACGCCGAAAACUUGACCUCGACAGACCCUUAAACUCGAACAACAAGACCUCAUCAUUAAUAGGUUUUUGGAGGAGGAAGGUUUAAGAGCUUGGUGGCUGCUGGUUUUAAUGGAGUUCGAAAGUGGCGUCGUCGGCGUUAGCUCGCCCAGCCAGAUCUGAAAGUUCUCAUCGUCAUCAACAUCUCCGGCGAAGUCGACACGGCAGGCUUCUCCAAUGAAGAGCUUCUACUAUCGCCCUCUGAAGGAGAGAGAGAGAGAUUUAGGGAAUGAAGGAGCUAAAUCUUGGGGGUGGGGGGUCCUCCCUAUUGCAUGAGAAUCCCAGAGGUGGGGGUGGCUGCUCUAGGGAGUGUAGGGAUUUGGGGUGAGCUCUAAAA
rnacentral:lncRNA from 1 species